rnacentral:pre_miRNA from 1 species
CGUAUUCAUCUCUUGCCUCGAUGUGUUUCAGAAACCAUAAGGCACGCGGUGAAUGCCAA